rnacentral:miRNA from 1 species
AACGUUUCAUUUCUGUACAAAACU